rnacentral:rRNA from 1 species
CUUGAACGCUGGCGGCAGGCCUAACACAUGCAAGUCGAGCGGAGCGGCGGACGGGUGAGUAAUGCCUAGGAAUCUGCCUGCUAGUGGGGGAUAACGUCCGGCUACGGGCGCUAAUACCGCAUACUAUCAGAUGAGCCUAGGUCUGAUUAGCUAGUUGGUGGGGUAAAGGCCUACCGAGGCGACGAUCCGUAACUGGUCUGAGAGGAGGAUCAGUCACAAUGGGAAUGAGACACGGUCCAGACUCCUACGGGAGGCAGCAGUGGGGAAUAUUGGACAAUGGGCGAAAGCCUGAUCCAGCCAGGGCGCGUGUGUGAAGAAGGUCUUCGGGUUGUAAAGCACUUUAAGUUGGGAGGCGUUACCAACAGAAUAAGCACCGGCUAACUUCGUGCCAGCAGCCGCGGUAAUAC